AAAUGUUUUCCAAUAAAACUUACAAAACAUCACUAUCAUUCUACUAAAACAGAUGGUGACAUCUCAAACAUGACCUAUUAGUUCUACAACUACACUAAUACUACAACUACAACUACACCAUAUGAAGUGGUGAAGCCUCACACCAACACCUAAUCUAAAUAAUACUAAAGACUUCGGAAAUCACCUGUGUAGUCGGAGAAUCAAAGGGAAAACUUGCAGAGAACUCAAAACUCUUCUAUAAUUCUAUUUCAUGUAACUUGCCUUGUGAAGAAGGUUACAAAGAGUAUUUAUAGGAAUUUAUAAGGGCAAAGGGCACAUUAGACUUUCCACUCUAAUUCACGUACUCCACAUGCUAGAAUACGUACCUAGGUCAUUAUUGGAAGAAUAUUCUUUAUUAGCUAACUUCGCAGCUUUACAAAUGCUACGCGCUCUUCAUGACAGCACAGUCUGGUGUCGUAUUCUCCUGCGCAGGCGUCAUUUUUUUUUAUUCUCAUCUUUUGUAUUUGGAGCUUGUGACAUGAUGUUGUCCUUUUGAUCCCUAGUUAGUGAUAAUGUUGUGUGGCCGUCUGCGCAGACGGCACCUUAACAUAGCUUGGUCUCUCCUCUGGAAGUCAGCGUAGGAUACUUCGAGGCUGCGCAGGCUCUCCUCUGGUGUAUUACCUUGUGGUCACUACAAGUUUGUGCUGUUAGUUUAAUCAUAUAAACUCAUAUAUGUUGUAGGUUCUGUGCUGAUGAGAUCCUUACUCCUCAUCAUCAAGACAUAACAAACAUGACCUAUUGGUUCUACAACUACACCAAUACUACAUACACUUUAUCAAAACACGAAAAACUACAAUCAACUGCAUACACUUUAGUUUCCAUUCCAAUUCUUUUCUAAGUUUCCUCAAAUCUUGAACCUCGUCAUUUGUCUCCUCGAAGCUCAGCUUCAAUGCAGCCAGUUCCUCAACUUUAACUAGCUCAAAUUUUUUCAUUGUUCAUGUCCUCCAACAAGCUUCGGCAGUUUACUUGCCAUACCAACUUAUCCCUUUCAUUCUUAAUAUUAUUGAAACAAAACUUGUAGUGAGCACUUAGUUCUUGAUCUACACAUUGCCACAACCCACAAUCAUCCCACUAUCAACUCAACUAUCAAAUAACCUAAAUGUAAGAAUUGAACCAAAAAAUAAACUACAUAAAUUACCUUCUUUUGAGAAUAGCAAUAGAAUCUCCUUUCUGAAUUUCUCUGAGCGUGUGAGGUUUCCUCAGUCAUUGCAAUAUCAUGCCCACACAACUUCUGAACCCAAUUAUAUCCCUUCAGCUAGACGAGUUCGACAUUAUUCAGGAAUUGAAGCUUUCGAAAGACCAACUCCAUCAAUCUCGUAAACCCAUAAAAAUGGACAGAUCCCUUCGAAACACCAGAAUUAUAUCCUUCGCUAAACAUAAACCAUAAAUAUUGGGUACAUACUUAUCUCCCAUCGUGCUCUCAAACGGUGUCGCAAUGCUGCUGCCAAUUGGGGAAAAAGAGUUGGAGCAGAAAGAAUCAGAUGAGACAAGAGAGAAGAGUUGGGGAGGAAGACUUGGAGAAAUUAUGGAUUCAUUAGAUUUGGAGAAAAUCAGUAAAAUUGAGGUUAGAUUUCAAUAAAACGAC
rnacentral:lncRNA from 1 species